rnacentral:rRNA from 1 species
GACGAACGCUGGCGGCGUGCUUAACACAUGCAAGUCGAACGGAGAGGCCCUGCUUUUGUGGGGUGCUCGAGUGGCGAACGGGUGAGUAACACGUGAGUAACCUGCCCUUGACUUUGGGAUAACUUCAGGAACCUGGGGCUAAUACCGGAUAGGCGCUCCUGCUGCAUGGUGGGGGUUGGAAAGUUUCGGCGGUUGGGGAUGGACUCGCGGCUUAUCAGCUUGUUGGUGGGGUAGUGGCUUACCAAGGCUUUGACGGGUAGCCGGCCUGAGAGGGUGACCGGCCACAUUGGGACUGGGAUACGGCCCAGACUCCUACGGGAGGCAGCAGUGGGGAAUAUUGCACAAUGGGCGGAAGCCUGAUGCAGCAACGCCGCGUGCGGGAUGACGGCCUUCGGGGUGUAAACCGCUUUCGCCUGUGACGAAGCGUGAGUGACGGUAAUGGGUAAAGAAGCACCGGCUAACUACGUG